CAUCUCUAGAAUUCAUGUAAUCUUCUCAGCUUCUCUUGGAAAGUUUCUAUCUGCACGACUAAGAACUAUAUUCAGAGAAUUCAAUGGGAGUGGCCAAAAUGGAGAAGCAAGGGUGGCUACACUUGUAAGUAUAUUUAAUGUGCCUGCAUAGACUCCAAAAGAUAAGUUCAGAGGCAGAAUUCGAAUAUUCCUUGUGUAUAUUCAUGUGUUCCAGGAGAUGGCACAUGUUUUCUCUAAUUCGAAAGAGCUGAAUCUGGGGAGAAACCCCAAAAGUCCCACAAUGAAAAGCAACAAUUAAGUGACAAUGAGAACCAGCAGUUGCUUAUCAAGUGUAUCACACAAUAUUUUGGGUUCUCGAGUGGCAAGCCAAUUGCUGCUAGCAUUCUACAUUGGAGGUCAUUUUUAGUUGAAAGAACUACCGUGUUUGACUGGAUUAUCCAAAUCAUUGCUUUGGCUAUAGAUAUUCCACAUCUCACAGAAGUUGACGAUUAGCUUGAACUACAUAAGUUCCCUACGGACAGAAGAAAUAAGGUGGUGUUACAUCUUAUAAUCAUCACAGCCUCUUGGUGCAUCUGGAAAUCAAGAAGUGGCAAAAUUCAUGAUAAUAGUUCCAUCCAUUUGUUGAAGCUUAAAUAGGACAUUAGAUCACUCUCUUUUCUUUGGAUAAAAUAAAGAUCAACAUUUAGAAACAUCUCAAGGGAGGAUUGGUGUAAUUCUACUUUUUAAAGACAUGUACUUUUGUAUUCCAGCUAGCUCCUUGCUAGGGUUUCUGUUAAUGAAAGUUGUUGGAAAAA